AGAGUUUGAUCCUGGCUCAGAAUCAACGCUGGCGGCGUGCCUAACACAUGCAAGUCGAACGAGAAAGUGGAGCAAUCCAUGAGUAAAGUGGCGACCGGGUGAGUAACACGUGACUACCUGCCCUUGAGUGGGGGAUAACUUCGGGAAACCGAGGCUAAUACCGCAUAACAUCGUAAGAUCAAAGGAGCAAUCCGCUGAAGGAGGGGGUCGCGGCUGAUUAGUUAGUUGGUGAGGUAACGGCUCACCAAGACGAAGAUCAGUAGCCGGCCUGAGAGGGCGCACGGCCACACUGGAACUGAAACACGGUCCAGACUCCUACGGGAGGCAGCAGUGAGGAAUUUUGCGCAAUGGGGGAAACCCUGACGCAGCAACGCCGCGUGGAGGAUGAAGUCCCUUGGGAUGUAAACUCCUUUCGAUCGGGACGAUUAUGACGGUACCGGAAGAAGAAGCACCGGCUAACUCUGUGCCAGCAGCCGCGGUAAUACAGAGGGUGCAAGCGUUGUUCGGAAUUAUUGGGCGUAAAGGGCGCGUAGGCGGUGCGGUAAGUCUGUGGUGAAAUCUUCGGGCUCAACUCGGAAAUUGCCUUAGAAACUGCCGUGCUGGAGUGUGGGAAAAGUGAGUGGAAUUCCCGGUGUA
rnacentral:rRNA from 1 species